rnacentral:rRNA from 1 species
CACGGGGAGGUAGUGACGAAAAAUAACGAUACGGGACUCAUCCGAGGCCCCGUAAUCGGAAUGAGUACACUAUAAAUCCUUUUGCAAGGAACMAUUGGAGGGCAAGUCUAGUGCCAGCAGCCGCGGUAAUUCUAGCUCCAAUAGCGUAUAUUAAAGUUGUUGCGGUUAAAAAGCUCGUAGUCGAAUCUGUGUGUCGUGCCGCCGGUACACCGCUCGCGGUGGUUAACUGGCGUGCCACGGCACGUCCUGCCGGUGGGCUCUUCGGACUGACUUCGGUCGCCCGAUGCCCUAGUUCGUAGCCGUUCAAUGCGGUUGCGGAUCCCAUCGCGGUGCUCUUUAUUGAGUGUCUUGGUGGGCCGGCACGUUUACUUUGAACAAAUUAGAGUGCUUAAAGCAGGCCAAUUUUGCCUGAAUAUUCUGUGCAUGGAAUAAUUGAAUAGGACCUCGGUUCUAUUUUGUUGGUUUUCUGAACCCCGAGGUAAUGAUUAAAAGGAACGGAUGGGGGCAUUCGUAUUGCGAGGUUAGAGGUGAAAUUCUUGGAUCCUCGCAAGACGGACUAAAGCGAAAGCAUUUGCCAAAAACGUUUUCAUUGAUCAAGAACGAAAGUUAGAGGUUCGAAGGCGAUCAGAUACCGCCCUAGUUCUAACCAUAAACAAUGCCAACUAGCGAUCCGCCGUUGUUCCUCCGAUGACACGGCGGGCAGCUUCCGGGAAACCAAAGUUUUUGGGUUCCGGGGGAAGUAUGGUUGCAAAGCUGAAACUUAAAGGAAUUGACGGAAGGGCACCACAAGGAGUGGAGCCUGCGGCUUAAUUUGACUCAACACGGGAAAUCUCACCAGGCCC